AUCGCAUUCAUUACCGGUUACCACUAGUUCAACAUGAUUCAUUGGCGCAACCGUUACGUACCUAUGUAAGAUGAUAAUAUUGAAAAAUAAACGUUAUUAUUUAUUAGUGAAAAAGGCAAAACAAUUUUAGUUUGGGUUUUAAAAAAACUUGGUUUACGACAUUAAACCAUGACGUGUACAAAAAAAAUAUGUUCAGCUUAUUUAAAAACCAAUCAACUAAAUAAAAUCCAGUUCGAAAAUUGCAAAGUUAUUUACAAUUGUGCGAAAGACUCGGAGCAAAAGAUCAACAGACAGAUACUCAGCAACAAUCUAAAAUGAAAAGCUUUGGAAUAGCUCUCUGAACGACUAAUAAAAUUAUUUCACGACGAGUUGAAAAAUAUUAAUGUAAGUACAUUAACAACCUUAGACGUAAUUUACAUUAAAAAUAACAUAAGCCAUGCUGGAAAUUCUAUAUAGGUAUCCAAAAUUGCCACAAAAUGACAACAAAGUCCAUACGGUUUUAUCGUCCACUGAGGUUAAAAACCUCAAUAGAUGAAAACUUUUUAAUAGUAAAUAACCUAUUAAAUGGUUUGAUAAUAUUUUUAUGCGAUGAAAAUAUCAAGUUUCUAAGCACGCUAAAUACAUUAUAUGUGAAUGGAACUUUUGACUAUUGUGUUUGAUAUUUUUGUCAAUUGUUUACAAUACAUGGAUUUUAUAAUAAUUAUUAUAUACCCUUAGAAUAUUUUUUGCUGAAGGAUAAAAGACCAAGUAUCAUACAAAUGAGCUUUUGUGGAAUUAUGUAACUAAUUUUUGAAGUCCGUAAAAAUAUUUGAACCAAAAUUGUGAUUUGUUGAUUUUAAAAAUCAAUAUAUAAUGCAUUAUGUGAGGUUUGGCCACAAAUUGAAGUUAUGGGUUGUGUAUUUCAUUUAUGCCAAUCUUGGUGGCGUUAAAUAAAACAAAUUGGUUUAGCUAGAGAAUAUUCAAAAGACAACGAAAAUUGAAAAAUGCCUCACAUCCAUAUUUGGCCUUCCAUAUUCACAUCCAGAACAAGUACCUAAUAUUUUAAUUUUUAAAUACAUUUAUUACUAAUAUUAUUGUAAUUUUUAACUAAACAACUAUUUGUUUUCAGGAAGGUGACGUUUUUGCUAUGGAUAUUGGUGAGCUAAAACCUAAUAAUGUCAAAAUAACUAAAUUUUCCGAUUAUUUGGUUGAAAAUUAUAUUGAUAAAGAUUCAUCUUUCCCUUCAAGAAUAUGGGCAGCAAUGGCAUCCAGUACACAAAGAUCUACUAACACUUGUCAAUCAAUCGACAGGAAAUUUAAUUCUAAUUUUUCAUCCACUCACCCUCAUAUUUAUAAACUUUUGAAUGUACUAAAAUCAGUGCAGUUAGAUACGGUAAUAUUAAUUAGAUCUUCCAAAAUAGAGACCAAAAAAGUUAGGGCAACUACUGAAAAUAAAAUAAAUUUUACUAAUAACUUAAUUGAUAAAUUAAACAGAAAUGAAAUUUCCAGAUUUUAAUAUUUAAAAGUAUUAGCAAAUAAAUUUUAACCUCAGAUACAUACAACAUAACUAAUUUAAAUUUAAAUUUUUGACUAUAAAACAUAAUGAUAUUUAUUUAUUGGUUGUUGACUAUUUUUUAUUAUUAUUCAUUACUGUUGUAUUGGUACUGUAAAACAUAAUCCUUUUUCAUCUAAAUUAUUUUUUGUAUUGAUUUUAAAUACGUGAAAUUUUGAUACAAUACAUAUACCUAUUUGCUUUUUUGACAUCGACUUAUUACCUAAUACUGUGUACCUAAUACCUAUGUAUAAUAAUUUAAAAAAAAUUGAAAUAGAUAUCAAUUUGAUAUAAGAAGGUCACUACCUAAAAUAGGAGGCAAUUCAAGUAACCUUUUUAAAAAAAAAUCACGGGAGGUAAUUCAUGUGCACCCAACUAUUCUACCUAAUGUUUUAAAAUAAUAAUACCAUAUUAAUACCCAUAUAAUUUUGUAUAAUAAAACUACAAUUUACCAUCAUUUACUGAUGAAUUUCGACUAUUUCUCACAUUAACUAUUGUCAUAUCAUAACUUAUUAAAGUAUUUUUCGACUUAAAAUCUUUUACUUCAACUAUAGAAGAUUUUAACUGUAGAGGUUUUCUAGGUAUUCUAGGUACUUUUGACAAAUACUCGAGCACAGGAAAGAUUGUAGGAAUGGCGCUUCCAUGACAAAAAAAAUCAGCUUUUCUAUUUAUA